UGACGCUUUCCGCAGUUGCGGGAGGAGGGCGGAGAUGUCUGAAGUCGUAGUGGCGGUGGAAUAUAAACAACUCCUACCCCAGCAAAAUGAUGUGAAGGGAAGAAAGAUGUCAGGAUGACUUCAGCUACACACCUAAUGCAAAAAGGUCUUUGAGAAGAUCUCCAGUGUGCACCCUUCCCUCUGCCCCCUUCAGUUAACGUCUCACAUUCUCUAACUCCUGGAGUGUUGGGAUACUCUGGGGUGGACCCUAAUGUCCAAAUGGCAAAGAUCUGGGGGAGAGGAAUAAAAUGGAACUGCAGAA